AAGAUUGCUGAACUCAUUUUCAUGCAUGGCUAAACACAGAAUUGAACCAUGUGCUCCAGGAGUGAAAGUUUCCAGUCUCCAACAUGAGUUAAGGGCACAGACCUCUCACUUGCAAUGAAUUGUGAAAAUCAGUUUCUCAGGAGCAGCAGCGGUGGCCAUUCUGAGGAAAUGAAUGUCUGUGAACAGGGUUUGGAUUAGUAAAUGUACAUGAGGUGAUAUGUGGAAUAAAAAGGAAAAAAUGUAUUAAAUAGCUGCUCGCUAGUGAGCACUGACAAUUCUGUGUACAGAAUGAAGCAAACAUCCUGUGGAAAACAGUGUGUAAGGGUGUAUUUGAAGGCUGUGGAUUGCGCAAGAAAGCCAAAUAAAGAUUGCACAAGCGCUUUGA